CCUACGGGGGGCAGCAGUGGGGAAUUUUGGACAAUGGGGGCAACCCUGAUCCAGCCAUUCCGCGUGAGUGAAGAAGGCCUUCGGGUUGUAAAGCUCUUUCGCAAGGGAAGAAAACUUAUGAUCGAAUAAAUCAUGAGGUUGACGGUACCUUGAUAAGAAGCACCGGCUAACUACGUGCCAGCAGCCGCGGUAAUACGUAGGGUGCGAGCGUUAAUCGGAAUUACUGGGCGUAAAGCGUGCGCAGGCGGUUUUGUAAGUCGGAUGUGAAAUCCCCGGGCUCAACCUGGGAACUGCGUUCGAAACUGCAAGGCUAGAGUGUGUCAGAGGGGGGUAGAAUUCCACGUGUAGCAGUGAAAUGCGUAGAGAUGUGGAGGAAUACCAAUGGCGAAGGCAGCCCCCUGGGAUAACACUGACGCUCAUGCACGAAAGCGUGGGGAGCAAACAGGAUUAGAUACCCUGGUAGUCCACGCCCUAAACGAUGUCAACUAGUUGUUGGUAGAGUAAAAUCUAUGAGCAACGUAGCUAACGCGUGAAGUUGACCGCCUGGGGAUACGGUCGCAAGAUUAAAACUCAAAAGGAAUUGACGG
rnacentral:rRNA from 1 species